rnacentral:tRNA from 1 species
GCGCCCAUAGCUCAGUUGGUAGAGCAGCUCCCUUUUAAGGAGAUGGUCGCAGGUUCGAAUCCUGCUGGGCGCA